UGGCUGAACGGUAAAGCGCUUGGCUUCCGAACAGGGCGUCCCUGGUUCGAAUCCUGG
rnacentral:tRNA from 1 species